CUCCACUGAAUUAUUUCUAAAUAAAUAAAUAAAUAAAUAAAAAUAAAAUCACAGCCCACACAACGGCAUCUAUAAAAAAUACACUAAAAAUCCUCUCUAAAACUUGUGAAGAGUCAAAUCAAGCUUUCCUCUGAAAUGAAGCUGCAGGCUUAUGCAGAACAUGCAGUUUGUAAGCAAAGGCACUGGGAAUAAGCACAGAAGAGCUGCUCUCUGCAUGACUGAGGAAACUGGGUGAUAUGAAUGCAAAGAUAAAUGUUUAUCUUGCCCUGCUUUGUAUUUAGCAGAUAACAGAAAGGGAUCAAAACCAAAAUGUGUCAUUUGGACCUUCCCUAAUGUUUGUAUCAGCAUGAUGGACUCCACAUCUGAAGAAAGGUGAAAUUUAUGAAACCUUAAAAUGUUCAAUCUAACAUUUACUUUGAAUAUUUGUAUCAGUAGUAUUCCAGUAGGAUUCCUAUGAGAAAAGGAACUGAUUAUGAAUAGAUGUUUUUUUUGCUAAAUUAUUUUACUUUACUUCAGCAACAUCAGAGCAUUCCUGCUCAAAUUCAGAGCAGGAAUGUUCAGGAGCUCAACAAAUCUUAAACGAUUAAUGUAUGGUUUAAUUGCGAUUAAUGGUAAGCUGUUUUGCCUCCUAAAUGUGAACUAUUUUCAGUAAUAAGAAUUCAGUCCUCUUUGCAUAAAUAUGUAUUAAAAGCAAGGAUGGAGUGCAGGUAUUGGCAAUAUUUGUUCAGCAGCUAGCAGCUCAAUUACCACCUGAAGUAUCAGACUGAAAAUUCAUUGCAGCCUUUCCCAUCUAAAGCAUCUGCUUGUCCUAUGACUUUGAGGUCGACAGCCCCACAUCUGCCUUGUAUUACUUUUGCCAAAGUUGUAUUUUCAAUAUAACCUUUCUCUUCCACUUUUGAGCCUUCCCUACCAGGCUUCACCACCACGAACAAUUAUUCUCCAUAAGAAAAAUUACAAGCAAGUUGAUUUCCGUCUACUUACCCUUGUCAUGGUUUUAGUCCAAACUAACCAGCCAUAAUUCCUACACCAGUUAAUUUCAUCAAACUUGUAUAUGAAUGUAUUUGACUGUUUAGGGGUGGAGUAUUUACCUUAGUCAUGGAUAAGAAUUUGUUGCACUCCCAUAUUUUAAGGAUUGAGUAACUAAUUACUUUACUUCCUUAUUGAGAGCUUGGAUAGCACCACCAUCAUUUGUGCUCAUGGUGAAAAUUAUACCUGUCAGUAGUAAAGUGGUGGAAUUACAGGAUAGAUUAAAUGUGGGAAGAAAAUGGAUAGGUAAGGAAUUCACACUGAUUUGAAUUGAUUUGGGAUAUUAUCCGAUAUUGAUGCAGCAAAAUAACAGUGUCACUUGUAAAACUGAGGGAGAAGUGGUUUGGGUUUUGUUUAUUCCUGUUUCAUAAAGUGGUAUUUUCUUGCUCUCUUCUUUGCAGUGCCAACAAGUAAAAUGUACUGUCUCCUGUUCUUACUGUACAUUGUACUGUAAAAUGUGUUUACGGCAAAUGUUGGAUUUUCCCCUAGAGAUUCCAGUCACUCAUAGCCAAUUUCUAUUCACCAGGGAGUAAAAGCAUUGAUUUUAUUUUACAAUAAUUUUUGAGGUUUGGUUUCCCUUGCCGCUUUAAAAAAAUCAAUCAAUCAAUCAAUCAAUCAAUCAAUCUGAAAAUAAAUUCAAGAGGUAUGAAAAGGAGAAGAUGGCAGAUCAUUUGGGUUGAACGACAACUAAAGUAUCUAUUAGUCUUAGAUAAGAAAGUUCAUUUAUUCUUAAAAAAUCUAUGUAAAAACAGUUCUGCUAAUCUGGAGAAAAGACCUAUUUACAUUUUAGCAGUCCCUGGUGUUAAAAAUAUGCUAUUAGCUAAGAACUGUUUCUAGCUGAAUUUCUGUAAUUUCGCUGAAUUGUGAGUUUGCAGAAAACUCCUGAUUGCAGAAAAUAAUUGUAAGACAAAGACAUUCCUCUUCUUCCUCUCCACAGAAUUUUCUUUUAGUAGUAUUUCUUAUCUUAGCCUCCACAGCAGUAAGUUGACUUGAAUUCCAUUUUGAAAAUCACUUAUAGCGAUAGACUUUUGAAAGUUACUUACAGACACCCUGAGUGUUUGUGGCUGAAAAGAAAUUGGAUACCUCUUGAGAUCAGUGGAGGUUUCAGCCUAAAAUGAAUGAUGAAGUGGAGCAAUGUAUUGAUUGGUACUGGAUAAUAUUUUCAUUAGGCAAUUGUUUGUAGUUAACAUGCACUGAAGAUUGAUAGAAUUUUACUGGCAAUACAUCCCUAAGUAAGGACUGGAGAUGUCUCAAAGAGGAGCAAAAGUAAGUGAAAACUAAGCACCACACAGCAGCUGCAGUUAGUGUCAAUAUGUAAUGAAUAUAAUGAUGCAGAAUUCUAAUGUUAAUUUCAAGCAUUUCCAAGUGUACCUAACAUAUUAAAUAGGUGUAAAAAAAAAAAAAAAAAAA